GACGAACCGUGCGAACGUUGUUCGGAUUCACUGGGCUUAAAGGGCGCGUAGGCGGGCGACCAAGUCAGGGGUGAAAUCUUUCAGCUUAACUGGAAAACAGCCUCUGAUACUGGCCGUCUGGAGGGAGGUAGGGGUCUGUGGAACUUCUGGUGGAGCGGUGAAAUGCGUAGAUAUCAGAAGGAACGCCGGUGGCGAAAGCGACGGACUGGACCUUCUCUGACGCUGAGGCGCGAAAGCUAGGGGAGCAAACGGG
rnacentral:rRNA from 1 species